UAUCUCUGUAGAGUCUGCAUAUCAAUAAGCGGAGGAAAAGAAACUAACUAGGAUUCCCUCAGUAACGGCGAGUGAAGCGGGAAGAGCUCAAAUUUGAAAUCUUCAAGGUUCUACCUUGACGAAUUGUAGUUUAAAGAAGUGUUUUCUGUUGGAGUUUUGGUAAAAGUUCUUUGGAAUAGGGCAUCAUAGAGGGUGAGAAUCCCGUAUUUGACCAUUAUUUCCAGCUUUGUGAUACACUUUCAAAGAGUCGGAUUGUUUGGGAAUGCAGUCCUAAAUGGGUGGUAAAUUUCAUCUAAAGCUAAAUAUUGGCGAGAGACCGAUAGCGAACAAGUACCGUGAGGGAAAGAUGAAAAGAACUUUGAAAAGAGAGUUAAACAGUACGUGAAAUUGUCAAAAGGGAAGCGUUUGACACCAGUGUUGUUUUCUCGAAAAUCAAUUAAAAAAGGCAGGAUUUUGUGUUGUAUUGACUUUAUCAGCUUUCUGCACUCUUUUCUUGUCUUUUUUAAUGCACUUUUCGUUUAACAAGUCAACAUCAAUUUCUUUUGUUGUAAAAGGGUCAUUGGAAGGUGGCUUUCUUUUCGGAGAAAGUGUUUAUAGCCUUUGGCCUCUGCAAUCGGAGAGAUUGAGGUCUGCAGCGUAGAUCCUUCGGGGUUAGAUACAUUUGUGCUAAGUUAUAGCCUUUCAUAGACAACUUGUUGACUAUGAUCAGUCAUGUAGCUUACUCGCUUAUGCUAUUUUACCUACGCUUAGGAUGUUGAGUCAUCACACAUCUCU
rnacentral:rRNA from 1 species